ACCACCAGGGGUCGCCCCCCACAUAGUGAGCUCCCAUAAAAGGGAGGCUGUCAGGCUGGUGGCCAAUUGUCAAUCUCCUCUGUGCUCGUCCAGGUGUGUUGGCCCACGCGUUUGCGAUCAGGGCCACAUUUCAUGUUUUGAUCGGACGAUUGCUCUACCUGGGCGUGCGGUUGGUCGACGCUGCAGUUGACCUUAGUGAAAGGUGCCACCAUUGUGAGGUAAAACCACAGAAGAAGAGGAAGGUAAACUGAUGUAGAAGAAACGGCUAAAGCUAUUAACUACUUGGGUAAUUUUGUUAAACCACAAAAUGAAGACCCAGGAUCAGGAUGGAGAAACUCAGCUGGCCUGGGAACGGCUUGUACCUCCUGAGAACGAGCUGCACCUUCAGCUUCUCCACGAUCAUAAAAAGAGUAAAGAAUAAAGAAAACUGAAACGCAAACAGCUAUUAAAAACUGCAAUGUUUAUUUAACAUGAUAUAAAACAGAUGGGAUAUGAACGUUUGCAAAUCAAAUCUGUAUGUACGUACCUAUAUAUUGGGUAUAUAUUCCCAUCCUGAUGCACCAUGUACAUUAUAUACACAGUAAACCUCUGAUAGUUACACUUUAUACACACACGCAAAAAUAUCUUCAAUUUACAAAGGCUCCUUUUUUUUAUUGCUUUUUUCUUUUAGACAUGCAUUAUUUUCAGCUCCAGGGCUUUAAACCGACAUGUCCUAAAAUAGUACCAAACUCUGAAAUUUUGUCCAUCUCUCAAUUUAAAUAUAUAUCUCAGACAUAGGGAACAGAGAGCGACUUAAGUCAGAACAUUCAAAUAUGUAUAUGUAUCGGCAGCUGACUGGAAACAUCGAAAUUUACAAAUCAUUUUAGUCUGCAAGAUUAAAGUUGCUCCAAUAUUAUAUAUGAGGAAUACAGAUCUGGUAUUAAUCAGUAUAGACAAGUGUUCUUUACAAUAAAUUGAUAAAUAUAACUAGUUAGCUAAAUGUCAACAUCUGAAAAGCAAUCUGAAUUAAAUAUUAAAGAUUAAAUUUAGCUAAAAGAAUACGCAGAAGCAUCUUAAAACCUUGGAAAAAG